rnacentral:rRNA from 1 species
AUUGAACGCUGGCGGCAUGCCUUACACACGCAAGUCGAACGGCAGCAUGAUCUAGCUUGCUAGAUUGAUGGCGAGUGGCGAACGGGUGAGUAAUACAUCGGAACGUGCCCUGUAGUGGGGGAUAACUAGUCGAAAGAUUAGCUAAUACCGCAUACGACCUGCGGGUGAAAGUGGGGGAACGCAACGCCUCAUGCUAUAGGAGUCGCCGAUGUGUGAUUAGCUAGUUGGUGAGGUAAAGGCUCACCAAGGCGACGAUCAGUAGCUGGUCUGAGAGGACGAUCAGCCACACUGGGACUGAGACACGGCCCAGACUCCUACGGGAGGCAGCAGUGGGGAAUUUUGGACAAUGGGGGCAACCCUGAUCCAGCAAUGCCGCGUGUGCGAAGAAGGCCUUCGGGUUGUAAAGCACUUUUGUCCGGAAAGAAAUCGCACUUACUAAUAUUAGGUGUGGAUGACGGUACCGGAAGAAUAAGGACCGGCUAACUACGUGCCAGCCGCCGCCGUAACAC